GGAUUAGAUACCCUGGUAGUCCACGCCGUAAACGAUGUCUACUAGUCGUCGGGGAUCUUGCAUUUCUGGUGACGCAGCUAACGCGAUAAGUAGACCGCCUGGGGAGUACGGCCGCAAGGUUAAAACUCAAAUGAAUUGACGGGGGCCCGCACAAGCGGUGGAGCAUGUGGUUUAAUUCGAUGCAACGCGAAGAACCUUACCAAGUCUUGACAUCCUGCGAAUUUUCUAGAGAUAGAUGGGUGCCUUCGGGAACGCAGAGACAGGUGCUGCAUGGCCGUCGUCAGCUCGUGCCG
rnacentral:rRNA from 1 species